UCCGGCAUGGUCUAGUGGUUAGGAUACCUGGCUCUCACCCAGGAGGCCCUGGUUCGAUUCCCGGUGUCGGAA
rnacentral:tRNA from 1 species